rnacentral:rRNA from 1 species
CCUACUGGUGGCAGCAGUAAGGGAUCUUGGUCAAUGGGGGAAACCCUGAACCAGCAACGCCGCGUGAGGGAAGACGGUUUUCGUAUUGUAAACCCCUGUCCUCUGUGAAGAUGAUGACGGUAGCAGAGGAGGAAGCUCCAGCUAACUACGUGCCAGCAGCCGCGGUAAUACGUAGGGAGCGAGCGUUGUCCGGAUUUACUGGGUGUAAAGGGUGCGGAUGCGGCUUGGCAAGUCAGUGGGUAAGUCGAUGGGCUUAACCCAUGAACUGCUAAUGAAACUGUCGAGCUUGAGUGAAGUAGAGGUAGGCGGAAUUCCCGGUGUAGCGGUGAAAUGCGUAGAGAUCGGGAGGAACACUAGUGGCGAAGGCGGCCUUUUGGGCUUUAACUGACGCUGAGGCACGAAAGCGUGGGUAGCAAACAGGAUUAGAUACCCGGGUAGUC